rnacentral:rRNA from 1 species
AAUUUUCUAAGUCUUUAUUUAUUUUUAUUUUUAAUUUAUAUUUUUGUUGAAAAUAACAAUUUAUUCUUUAAGACUAAAAGACCCUAGAAUUUUUAAGAAAAUGUUUCUUUUUUUUGGGGUAAUAAAAUAAUAUAAAUAAA